ACAAUCCUGAUGUGUUCGUCGCAUCAAUGACGUUUUGACCUAACAUUUUAUCUACGGGAGCUUAGCGUUCUUGUAUCUAGUGCAUGCCGCUGUACUUAUGUUACCUGGCGGAAGCACGAACUGCAAGACAGGGCACCCACCUGCAGGGAGCGGGUUCAAAACUUCAUCCCAAAAACGACGGCACGAUUGGGAUUGUC
rnacentral:other from 1 species